rnacentral:misc_RNA from 1 species
GAUGAAGAACGCAGCGAAAUGCGAUAAGUAAUGUGAAUUGCAGAAUUCAGUGAAUCAUCGAAUCUUUGAACGCACAUUGCGCCCGCCAGUAUUCUGGCGGGCAUGCCUGUCCGAGCGUCAUUUCAACCCUCGAACCCCUCCGGGGGGUCGGCGUUGGGGAUCGGCCCUUUACGGGGCCGGCCCCGAAAUACAGUGGCGGUCUCGCCGCAGCCUCUCCUGCGCAGUAGUUUGCACACUCGCAUCGGGAGCGCGGCGCGUCCACAGCCGUUAAACACCCCAAACUUCUGAAAUGUUGACCUCGGAUCAGGUAGGAAUACCCGCUGAACUUAAGCAUAUCAAUAAGCGGAGG